GAAAGGUAAGAAAACGCCCUACAUGAUUCUCAUACUGAUUAACACUAAUUACUCACGGAAAAUCCCCAGAAAAUGCUAAUACUGCUGCUGUUCGUCCACCUGAAAAUCUGUUUUUUGGGACAGCCAAAUACCCGGAUUCAAACGGUGAUAUCUUUUAAUUUAUAACUCCAAAUUGAGCGUAUAAAUACUCGUUGGAAAGGUAUGCCAAAGUUCUACAUGAUUCCCAAACUGAUUCCCAUUAAUUUCCCAUGAAAAAUGCCCAGAAACCACUAAUACGGCUGCUGUUCGUCCACCUGAAAAUCUGUUUUUUUGGACAGCCACAUACCCGGAUUCAAACGGUGAUAUCUUUUAAUUUAUAACUCCAAAUUGAGCGCAUAAAUACUCGUUGGAAAGGUAUGCCAAAGUUAUACAUGAUUUCCAAACUGAUUCCCAUUAAUUUUGUGACACCCCAGUGUCACC
rnacentral:lncRNA from 1 species